rnacentral:rRNA from 1 species
UGCCAGACUCCUACGGGAGGCAGCAGUGGGGAAUAUUGCACAAUGGGGGAAACCCUGAUGCAGCGACGCCGCGUGAGCGAUGAAGUAUUUCGGUAUGUAAAGCUCUAUCAGCAGGGAAGAAGAUGACGGUACCUGACUAAGAAGCCCCGGCUAACUACGUGCCAGCAGCCGCGGUAAUACGUAGGGGGCAAGCGUUAUCCGGAUUUACUGGGUGUAAAGGGAGCGUAGACGGCGAUGCACGCUAGAUGUGAAAGCCCGGGGCUCAACCCCGGGACUGCAUUUGGAACUGUGUGGCUGGAGUGUCGGAGAGGCAGGCGGAAUUCCUAGUGUAGCGGUGAAAUGCGUAGAUAUUAGGAGGAACACCAGUGGCGAAGGCGGCCUGCUGGACGAUGACUGACGUUGAGGCUCGAAAGCGUGGGGAGCAAACAGGAUUAGAUACCCCGGUA